AGCCAUGCCGCGUGUGUGAAGAAGGCCUUCGGGUUGUAAAGCACUUUCAGUAGGGAGGAAAGGUGAUGUGUUAAUAGCGCAUUGCUGUGACGUUACCUACAGAAGAAGGACCGGCUAACUCCGUGCCAGCAGCCGCGGUAAUAAUCGAAUUCCCGCGGCC
rnacentral:rRNA from 1 species